rnacentral:rRNA from 1 species
CCUACGGGUGGCAGCAGUGAGGAAUAUUGGUCAAUGGGCGUAAGCCUGAACCAGCCAAGUAGCGUGAGGGAUGAAGGUUCUAUGGAUCGUAAACCUCUUUUAUAAGGGACUAAAGUGCGGGACGUGUCCCGUUUUGUAUGUACCUUAUGAAUAAGGAUCGGCUAACUCCGUGCCAGCAGCCGCGGUAAUACGGGGGAUGCAAGCGUUAUCCUGAUUUCUUGGGUUUACAGGGUGCCUAGGCUGUGAGGUAAGUCAGCGGUUAAAUGUCCCCGCUGAACGGGGUGAAGUGCCAUUGAUAAUGCCUUGCUGGAAUGCGGAUGCCGUGGGAGGAAUGUGUGGGGUAGCGGUGAAAUGCAUAGAUAUCACACAGAACACCGAUUGCGAAGGCAUCUCACGAAGCCGCGAUUGACGCUGAUGCACGAAAGCGUGGGUAUCAAACAGGAUUAGAUACCCUUGUAGUC